rnacentral:rRNA from 1 species
GACGAACGCUGGCGGCGUGCUUAACACAUGCAAGUCGAACGGUGACGGCAGAGCUUGCUGUGCCUGAGGAGUGGCGAACGGGUGAGUAACACGUGAGUAACCUGCCCCUCACUUCGGGAUAACCUCGGGAAAGCGGGGCUAAUACCGGAUAGGAGACCUGACUGCAUGGUGGGGGCUGGAAAGAUUCAGCGGUGGGGGAUGGACUCGCGGCCUAUCAGCUUGUUGGUGAGGUAACGGCUGACCAAGGCGACGACGGGUAGCCGGCCUGAGAGGGCGACCGGCCACACUGGGACUGAGAUACGGCCCAGACUCCUACGGGAGGCAGCAGUGGGGAAUAUUGCACAAUGGGCGCAAGCCUGAUGCAGCGACGCCGCGUGCGGGAUGACGGCCUUCGGGUUGUAAACCUCUUUCGGCUGGGACGAAGCGAAAGUGACGGUACCUGCAGAAGAAGCGCCGGCUAACUACGUG